UAUUGGACAAUGGGCGAAAGCCUGAUCCAGCAAUGCCGCGUGAGUGAUGAAGGCCUUAGGUUUGUAAAGCUCUUUUACCCGGGAUGAUAAUGACAGUACCGGGAGAAUAAGCCCCGGCUAACUCCGUGCCAGCAGCCGCGGUAAUACGGAGGGGGCUAGCGUUGUUCGGAAUUACUGGGCGUAAAGCGAACGUAGGCGGCUUUGUAAGUUAGAGGUGAAAGCCUGGGGCUCAACCCCAGAAUUGCCUUUGAUACUGCAAGGCUUGAAUCCAGGAGAGGUGAGUGGAAUUCCGAGUGUAGAGGUGAAAUUCGUAGAUAUUCGGAAGAACACCAGUGGCGAAGGCGGCUCACUGGACUGGUAUUGACGCUGAGGUGCGAAAGCGUGGGGAGCAAACAGG
rnacentral:rRNA from 1 species